AGUGAACGCUGGCGGUAGGCCUAACACAUGCAAGUCGAACGGCAGCACAGUAAGAGCUUGCUCUUACGGGUGGCGAGUGGCGGACGGGUGAGGAAUACAUCGGAAUCUACUUUUUCGUGGGGGAUAACGUAGGGAAACUUACGCUAAUACCGCAUACGACCUACGGGUGAAAGCAGGGGAUCUUCGGACCUUUCGCGAUUGAAUGAGCCGAUGUCGGAUUAGCUAGUUGGCGGGGUAAAGGCCCACCAAGGCGACGAUCCGUAGCUGGUCUGAGAGGAUGAUCAGCCACACUGGAACUGAGACACGGUCCAGACUCCUACGGGAGGCAGCAGUGGGGAAUAUUGGACAAUGGGCGCAAGCCUGAUCCAGCCAUACCGAGUGGGUGAAGAAGGCCUUCGGGUUGUAAAGCCCUUUUGUUGGGAAAGAAAAGCAGCAGGUUAAUACCCCGCUGUUCUGACGGUACCCAAAGAAUAAGCACCGGCUAACUUCGUG
rnacentral:rRNA from 1 species